rnacentral:rRNA from 1 species
UACGUAGGGUGCAAGCGUUAAUCGGAAUUACUGGGCGUAAAGCGUGCGUAGGCGGCCCGGUAAGUCCGCUGUGAAAGUCAAGGGCUCAACCCUUGAAUGCCGGUGGAUACUGUCGGGCUAGAGUCCGGAAGAGGCGAGUGGAAUUCCUGGUGUAGCGGUGAAAUGCGCAGAUAUCAGGAGGAACACCAAUGGCGAAGGCAGCUCGCUGGGACGGUACUGACGCUGAGACGCGAAAGCGUGGGGAGCGAACAGG